CCCUGGCUAGCUCAGUUGGUAGAGCGCUCCACCUGUAAUGGAGAGGUCCCGGGCUUGAUACCCGGACCAGGCG
rfam:Ixodes scapularis strain Wikel colony gcontig_1107729067466, whole genome shotgun sequence.